GUGUUCACUUCGGCAGCACAUAUUCUAAAAAACUGGAAUGAUACAGAGAAGAUUAGCAUGGCCCCUGCACAAGAAUGACAUGCAAAUUCGUGAAGCAUUCCAUAUUUUU
ensembl:snRNA U6 U6 spliceosomal RNA